rnacentral:rRNA from 1 species
CUACGGGCUGCAGCAGUGAGGAAUAUUGGACAAUGGGCGAAAGCCUGAUCCAGCGACGCCGCGUGGGUGAAGAAGGCCUUCGGGUUGUAAAGCCCUGUCAGAGGGGACGAAGUUCUGACGGUACCCUCAGAGGAAGCACAGGCUAACUCCGUGCCAGCAGCCGCGGUAAUACGGAGUGUGCGAGCGUUGCUCGGAAUCACUGGGCGUAAAGGGCACGUAGGCGGCCUCGUGUGUUGGGUGGGAAAGCCCACGGCUCAACCGUGGAACUGCACUCAAAACUGCGAGGCUAGAGUACGGAAGAGGAAGGCGGAAUUCCCAGUGUAGGGGUGAAAUCCGUAGAUAUUGGGAAGAACACCAGUGGCGAAGGCGGCCUUCUGGGACGAUACUGACGCUGAUGUGCGAAAGCGUGGGGAGCAAACAGGAUUAGAUACCCGCGUAGUC